rnacentral:rRNA from 1 species
GAUGAACGCUGGCGGCGUGCCUAAUACAUGCAAGUCGAGCGAACAGACGAGGAGCUUGCUCCUCUGACGUUAGCGGCGGACGGGUGAGUAACACGUGGAUAACCUACCUAUAAGACUGGGAUAACCUCGGGAAACCGGAGCUAAUACCGGAUAAUAUAUUGAACCGCAUGGUUCAAUAGUGAAAGACGGUUUUGCUGUCACUUAUAGAUGGAUCCGCGCCGCAUUAGCUAGUUGGUAAGGUAACGGCUUACCAAGGCAACGAUGCGUAGCCGACCUGAGAGGGUGAUCGGCCACACUGGAACUGAGACACGGUCCAGACUCCUACGGGAGGCAGCAGUAGGGAAUCUUCCGCAAUGGGCGAAAGCCUGACGCAGCAACGCCGCGUGAGUGAUGAAGGUCUUCGGAUCGUAAAGCUCUGUUAGUAGGGAAGAACAAAUGUGUAAGUAACUAUGCACGUCUUGACGGUACCUAAUCAGAAAGCCCCGGCUAACUACGUG